rnacentral:rRNA from 1 species
UACGUAGGGUGCGAGCGUUGUCCGGAAUUACUGGGCGUAAAGAGCUCGUAGGUGGUUUGCCGCGUUGUUCGUGAAAACCGGGGGCUUAACCCUCGGCGUGCGGGCGAUACGGGCAGACUGGAGUACUGCAGGGGAGACUGGAAUUCCUGGUGUAGCGGUGGAAUGCGCAGAUAUCAGGAGGAACACCGGUGGCGAAGGCGGGUCUCUGGGCAGUAACUGACGCUGAGGAGCGAAAGCGUGGGGAGCGAACAGG